rnacentral:rRNA from 1 species
UACGUAGGUGACAAGCGUUGUCCGGAUUUACUGGGCGUAAAGAGCGCGCAGGCGGUCGAUCAAAGUCGAGUGUGAAAGCCCCCCGGCUCAACUGGGGAGGGUCAUUCGAUACUGAUCGACUCGAAGGCAGGAGAGGGUAGUGGAAUUCCCGGUGUAGUGGUGAAAUGCGUAGAUAUCGGGAGGAACACCAGUGGCGAAGGCGACUACCUGGCCUGUUCUUGACGCUGAGGCGCGAAAGCUAGGGGAGCAAACGGGG